GAUCCAGAGCUGCUGAGAACAGCUGCAGAUGACUGACUCAGUGUGUUUGCAUAUGUGUGCUGCCUCUCUGCUUCCAGCAGUUAAGAGCUCAGUGUUGAUCAGUGGCUGUCCAGACCUUUCAGAGACACUGACACACCUGCAGCACAAUGAGGAUGUCACUGACUCUGCUGCUGGCUGUCCUGGAGCUCCUUGUUCAGGGUUCUUCAGGUGAAACCACUUUGACUCAGACUCCUGGAUCUCAGUCUGUUGUUCCAGGACAAACUGUCUCCAUUAGAUGUAUAGCCAGUACAAAUAUUGAUGAUGAUCUUCACUGGUAUCUUCAGAAAUCUGGAGAAGCUCCUAAACUUUUGAUAUCUUAUGCAACAAAUCGUCAGUCUGGAGUUUCUGAUCGUUUUAGUGGAAGUGGAUACGACAGAGAUUUCACUCUGACCAUCAGUGGAGUUCAGGCUGAAGAUUCAGGAGUUUAUUACUGUCAGCACGACGACAACUAUCCGUACACACAGUGA